rnacentral:rRNA from 1 species
CUAGCUGUAAACGAUGGAUACUAGGCGUUGAGAGUAUCGACCCUCUCAGUGUCGUAGCUAACGCGUUAAGUAUCCCGCCUGGGGAGUACGCGCGCAAGCGUGAAACUCAAAGGAAUUGACGGGGGCCUGCACAAGCGGUGGAGUAUGUGGUUUAAUUCGAUGCAACGCGAAGAACCUUACCAGGGCUUGACAUGUCCGGAACCCUGCCCAAAGGCGGGGGUGCCUACGGGAACCGGAACACAGGUGGUGC